rnacentral:lncRNA from 1 species
GGUACUGCACAGAACAGACAUUGUGACAUAUAUCUAGGCAAAUUGCCUAGAAGUGAAUCCCCUCUCCUGCUUAAGUCCUUCCCACAGAGAGCGGUUUGAUAUGUCACUGAAACCAGCAUCCAGGUGGUAUUGCUCCAUAUGCCUGAGACCCUAACAAAAGCCUAAUUACAACUCAUAUGCCUGGAGCCAGGACAUGUGCAGGAUGCCAUGAUGGUCCAAGUUAUAUUGGGAUUCAGCCAAUAGAAGAUAUUUUGCCUGUCAUCCCUAAGCUUAGGACAAUAGGGUCCUGCCCACAAGAAAGAUUGUGACAUCUCACUGGACAAGCACCCACCCAGACUCUGCCAAGAGAGGGGAUUAUUACAUAUUGCAGAGCCCAGCACCUAGGUGGAGUGACUCUCAUCUUUUUCUUCUACCCCGUAUAUAGCCAGCUUGGUGACCUACUAUUUGAGUCUAUACCCAGGCCCAGACCACAGAUGAAAUUGUGCAAUAUGUGGAACAAACACCUAAACAAUAUAUAACACCUUCCUUGGCUCUGUCUACAAAGGGCACUUUUAUAUAUCACUGGGACCAUCAACCAGGUGAUGUUGUGCCAUAUAACUGAGACCGUAUCAAAAGCCUAAUAACAAGACGUAUGUCUGGAGCCCCGAUAUGCACAGGAUGGUGAUAUAACCCUCUUCUCUGGAAUGGGCCCCACACAAAGGAAGGAUAGUGACAUAUUGCAAGCCCAGGCACACAGGCCCAGAGCACAGUUGAAAUUGUGACAUAUGUACACCAAGCAACCAAGCAAUGUAUAACACCUCAUUUGGCAAUGGAAUCGAGGGCACUUUUACAUAUCACUGAGACCAGCGCCCAGCUGAUGUGAAAUAUUGGCCUGAACCCUGCCUACAAAAGCAUUGUGGCUUUUAUCUAGCUCCAUUACAUAAGUGAUGUGACUUCCUUCUACUGCCUUGGCCCUGCACUUAUGGUGAAUCGUGACACAAAAUUGGGUAGAGCAACCAGCCUGGGCCCUGACCAGCACAGAGAUUGAGGCAUAUUGCUGAACCCAGGACCAAGAUGAAGUCACUCUCCUGCCUUGAUCCUGCACACAGGGACCCUUGUGACAUAUAUACAGGCCAAUUGCCUAGGUAAAGUUUGUCUCCUCUCCUGCCUAAGCCCUGCCCAUGGGGAGGAUUUAGAUAUAUCACUGAAA